rnacentral:rRNA from 1 species
AACGCUGGCGGCGCGCUUAACACAUGCAAGUCGAGCGAGAAAGGGGAGCAAUCCCUGAGUACAGCGGCGUACGGGUGAGUAACACGUGGGUAAUCUGCCUUUUAGUGGGGAAUAACCCUGGGAAACCGGGGCUAAUACCGCAUAAUCCUGUGAAGGGAAAGCAGCAAUGCGCUGAAAGAGGAGCCCGCGGCCGAUUAGCUAGUUGGUGAGGUAACGGCUCACCAAGGCGGUGAUCGGUAGCCGGCCUGAGAGGGCACACGGCCACACUGGCACUGAAACACGGGCCAGACUCCUACGGGAGGCAGCAGUGGGGAAUCUUGCACAAUGGAGGCAACUCUGAUGCAGCGACGCCGCGUGAGCGACGAAGCCCCUCGGGGUGUAAAGCUCUUUCGGCAGGGACGAUAAUGACGGUACCUGAAGAAGAAGCUGCGGCUAACUACGUGCCAGCAGCCGCGGUAAUACGUAGGCAGCGAGCGUUGUUCGGAAUUACUGGGCGUAAAGAGUGUGUAGGCGGUGUUCCAAGUUCGGUGUGAAAUCUCCCGGCUUAACUGGGAGGGUGCGCCGAAAACUGGAAUGCUCGAGCGUGGGAGAGGAAAGCGGAAUUCCUGGUGUAGCGGUGAAAUGCGUAGAUAUCAGGAGGAACACCAGCGGUGUAGACGGCUUUCUGGACCAUUGCUGACGCUGAGACACGAAAGCGUGGGUAGCAA